GGAAUCUUAGACAAUGGGCGAAAGCCUGAUCUAGCCGUGCCGCGUGAGUGAAGAAGGCCUUAGGGUCGUAAAGCUCUUUCGCCAGGGAUGAUAAUGACAGUACCUGGUAAAGAAACCCCGGCUAACUCCGUGCCAGCAGCCGCGGUAAUACGGAGGGGGUUAGCGUUGUUCGGAAUUACUGGGCGUAAAGCGCGCGUAGGCGGAUUGGAAAGUUGGGGGUGAAAUCCCAGGGCUCAACCCUGGAACUGCCUUCAAAACUCCCAGUCUAGAGUUCGAGAGAGGUGAGUGGAAUUCCAAGUGUAGAGGUGAAAUUCGUAGAUAUUUGGAGGAACACCAGUGGCGAAGGCGGCUCACUGGCUCGAUACUGACGCUGAGGUGCGAACGUGUGGGGAGCAAA
rnacentral:rRNA from 1 species